rnacentral:sRNA from 1 species
AUCUCCAGCUGCAAGCUGGGCCCCCAGGUGUCACUGGACCCCAUGAAGAAUGUCACCUGCGAGAAUGGGCUGCCGGCCGUGGUGAGUUGUGUGCCUGGGCAGGUCUUCAGCCCUGACGGACCCUCGAGAUUCCGGAAAGCCUACAAGCCAGAGGCUGGAGUGCAAUGGCAUGAUCUUGGUUCACUGCAACCUCCGGCUCCUGGGUUCACGCGAUUCUCCUGCCUCGGCCUCCCAAGUAGCUGAGAUUACAGGCACCCGCCACCACGCCUCGCUAAUUUUUGUAUUUUUAGUAGAGAUGGGGUUUCACCAUGUUGGCCAGGCUAGUCUUGAACUCCUGACCUCAGAUGGCCCACCCGCCUCGGCCUCCCAAAGUGCUGGGAUUACAGAUGUGAGCCACCGCGCCUGGCCUAACGGGCCGAUUUCCUAGAACAAGUAAAGUAGCCCAACCACAGCAGGCUUGACCCAGCCUCUGACAAAGAGCAAGUGCCCUGUCUCUUCUUGAUUCGCUUUUCUUUCUCCUCCUCUUCCUUUUUCCUCUAUCCAUCAAAGGGUCUCUGUGAUUUCUGUGUUCAGGAAACAGCGAAUAUCUUGUGAGUGGGUGGGAAUAGCAACUGGGAAGAGGAGAGGGAGGGAUAGGAGAAGUGACUGAUCAUUUCUCAGGGGCUGAUGCCCUGUGCCAGGUAAAACCUCAGUACUUAGUGCACUGUUUGCUGACGUGGCAUGAGUAGAUGAGAC